CAUAUCAAUAAGCGGAGGAAAAGAAACCAACAGGGAUUGCCCCAGUAACGGCGAGUGAAGCGGCAACAGCUCAAAUUUGAAAUCUGGCCCCCGGGUCCGAGUUGUAAUUUGCAGAGGAUGCUUCGGGCGAGGUGCCUUCCGAGUUCCCUGGAACGGGACGCCACAGAGGGUGAGAGCCCCGUCUGGUCGGACACCGAGCCCGUGUGAAGCUCCUUCGAAGAGUCGAGUAGUUUGGGAAUGCUGCUCAAAACGGGAGGUAUAUGUCUUCUAAAGCUAAAUAUUGGCCAGAGACCGAUAGCGCACAAGUAGAGUGAUCGAAAGAUGAAAAGCACUUUGAAAAGAGGGUUAAAAAGUACGUGAAAUUGUUGAAAGGGAAGCGCCCAUGACCAGACUUGGGCCCGGUGAAUCACCCGGCGUUCUCGCCGGUGCACUUUGCCGGGCACAGGCCAGCAUCAGUUUGGCGCGGGGGAGAAAGGCUUCGGGAACGUGGCUCCCUCGGGAGUGUUAUAGCCCGCUGCGCAAUACCCUGCGCCGGACUGAGGUACGCGCAUCGCAAGGAUGCUGGCGUAAUGGUCAUCAGCGACCCGUCUUGAAACACGGACCAAGGAGUCGUCUUCGUAUGCGAGUGUUCGGGUGUCAAACCCCUACGCGGAAUGAAAGUGAACGCAGGUGAGAGCUUCGGCGCAUCAUCGACCGAUCCUGAUGUUCUCGGAUGGAUUUGAGUAAGAGCAUACGGGGCCGGACCCGAAAGAAGGUGAACUAUGCCUGUAUAGGGUGAAGCCAGAGGAAACUCUGGUGGAAGCUCGCAGCGGUUCUGACGUGCGAAUCGAUCGUCAAAUAUGGGCAUGGGGGCGAAAGACUAAUCGAACCUUCUAGUAGCUGGUUUCCG
rnacentral:rRNA from 1 species